GGCUGUCUAGGUUGCCAUCCUUAAAAUGACAGCCAUCUUGACAGCCCAUCCUAUCCAUAGAUUUCAAUUUAAUCCAAGGGUCCAUAUAUAUUCCUCAUUAUAACUUAAUCUUUAAAAGGGCACUACUGUAAAUUGCCCUCUUUCUUCCCUUUCCUCUCAAUCUCUCUUCUGUAUACAACUAAACCAAUGGCAAAAUAACUCAAACUUAAUAUCACGCUCGAAGUUUUUUCCCUUCUUAGAUAGGGGGUUCUUCAAUGUUCAAUCUUCAUUCUUUCCUUCUCCUUCUAUGAUAACAAUUUUUUUCUUUUUGUGUUUGUUUCAAUUUUUUCUUUCAUUUUGUUGAUAAAGUGUUACUACCCAUUAGGUGUUAAUUUAUGAAAUUAAUUAUAAGCAAGUUCCUCAAAUAAAUUAGACCUGGUACAGUUUAAAUUAGAAUUGAUUUAAAACUUUGAUAAUUAAUUUUUUGGUUAAGUUAGUAUGAUUACUGGGGAGUUUGUGAUGAAACUUCCAUUAAUUUUGAUACUAAGGACAUUUUGACAGAAAGAAAAUGUAGAGUUGAUUUGUCUGGCCAUGAAAAUCAGAGAAAACCAAAUUAAAAUG
rnacentral:lncRNA from 1 species